rnacentral:lncRNA from 1 species
AGGAAAUGCAACUUCAGAGCUUCAGGAAAUGCAACUUCAGAGCUUUAUUCAGGAAAUGCAACCUCAGAGCUAUAUUCUUCUGAGGUUGCAUUUUCCUGAAUCAGAACAACUUUUUAAAGUCCCAUUGAAGAAGAUAUUGAUUUUCAUGUGGAAGACAGGACUUCCACAUGAAAAUAGAGAGAGUUGGUAGAUAGCAUGGAUAUAGCCCUCCUUUUUUGAAUCAAAUCCUUGAAAAAGUAGAAGACAGUAUGAAAAGAGAAGAAUUAGAGAAUAACGGCAGAACAAGUAACCUAUAUGCAGUUAUCCCAUAUCACAUGAGAAACUUAAAAUCUGUUAAGAAAUUACUUAGAAGAAGAAAUAAAAAAGCGUCGAUACAAAGGAACCCAACGAAAUACAACGUUUUAAGAAAUGAAAAAGUCCCCCUAGAACAUGCAAAGAGGAGAGGAGUGUAUAAGAUACCAGUAAAAACUGUAGAUAUAGAAGAAAUGGCUACAUAUAUUGGGGUAACGUCUAGAAUAAUU